AGAGUUUGAUCCUGGCUCAGGACGAACGCUGGCGGCGCGCCUAACACAUGCAAGUCGAACGAGAGAGAGGAAGCUUGCUUCCUCAAUCGAGUGGCGAACGGGUGAGUAACGCGUGAGGAACCUGCCUCAAAGAGGGGGACAACAGUUGGAAACGACUGCUAAUACCGCAUAAGCCCACAGGUCGGCAUCGACCAGAGGGAAAAGGAGCAAUCCGCUUUGAGAUGGCCUCGCGUCCGAUUAGCUGGUUGGUGAGGUAAUGGCCCACCAAGGCGACGAUCGGUAGCCGGACUGAGAGGUUGAACGGCCACAUUGGGACUGAGACACGGCCCAG
rnacentral:rRNA from 1 species